GAUGAACGCUGGCGGCGUGCCUAACACAUGCAAGUCGAACGCUCGCAAGAGAGUGGCGCACGGGUGAGUAACACGUAGCUAAUCUGCCCUCAAGACAAGGAUAACUGUAGGAAACUACUGCUAAUACUUGAUAAGCUUACGGACUGUAGAGGUCUAUAAGAAAAGAUUUAUCGCUUGAGGAUGAGGCUGCGCGCCAUCAGCUAGUUGGUAAGGUAAUGGCUUACCAAGGCGACGACGGCUAGGGGACCUGAGAGGGUGACCCCCCACACUGGGACUGAGACACGGCCCAGACUCCUACGGGAGGCAGCAGUGAGGAUAUGCUCAAUGGGGGAAACCCUGACGCAGCCAUGCCGCGUGAAUGAUGAAGGUCUUAGGAUUGUAAAAUUC
rnacentral:rRNA from 1 species